AGCCGGUCGCUGGGAGGAACCCGAGUCCUGGGGCUCGUCGUCUCUCCUCUGUCACCUUGGCUGUCCUGACAACUUAUUUAUGGUCUAAGAUGCACUGUCUGAGAUUACACAGCUAGUAAGUAGUGGAUCCAGUAUGGAACAGAGGCCAGUCUGGCUCCAGUGGGCUACUUUCAGCCACCGUGCUCUAUUGCUUAUAGAAAACAUAUCAGGGACUUCCCUGGUGGCGCAGUGGUUAAGAAUCCGCCUGCCAAUGCAGAGGACAUGGGUUCGAUCCCUGGUCCAGGAAGAUCCCACAUGCCACGGAGCACCUAAGCCCGUGCACCACAACUACUGAGCCUGCUCUCUAGAGCCCAUGAGCCACAACUACUGAGCCCAUGUGCCACAACUACUGAAGCCCGCGUGCCUAAAGCCUGAGCUCCGCAACAAGAGGAACCACUGCAAUGAGAAGCCCGCGCACCGCAACAAAGAGUAGCCCCCGCUCGAUGCAACUAGAGAAAGACUGCGUGCAGCAACAAAGACCCAAUGCAACUAAAUACAUAAAUAAAUAAAUAAACAAACAAAUAAAUAAAUAAAAGAAUGUACUCCCAGACAUAUGAAAAAAAAAAAAAGAGAGAGAGAAAACAUCACAUGCAAGAACCUUUUAACUGAUCCGCUUAUACCAGUUUCUACUUCACUACUCCUUCCAACUCAUGCUCUGCAUUUCUGUCAGAAUCAUCCUUAUAAAACACAGAUCUGAUCUUCAU